rnacentral:rRNA from 1 species
AACGAACGCUGGCGGCAGGCCUAACACAUGCAAGUCGAGCGCGCCUCUCGGGGGUGAGCGGCGGACGGGUUAGUAACGCGUGGGGAUAUACCCUUUUCUACGGAAUAGCCUCUGGAAACGGAGAGUAAUACCGUAUGAGCCCUUCGGGGGAAAGAUUUAUCGGGAAAGGAUUAGCCCGCGUUAGAUUAGGUAGUUGGUGGGGUAAUGGCCUACCAAGCCUACGAUCUAUAGCUGGUUUUAGAGGAUGAUCAGCAACACUGGGACUGAGACACGGCCCAGACUCCUACGGGAGGCAGCAGUGGGGAAUCUUGGACAAUGGGGGCAACCCUGAUCCAGCCAUGCCGCGUGAGUGAUGAAGGCCUUAGGGUC